rnacentral:lncRNA from 13 species
CUUUCAGGAGGCUUCUGCUCAGCUAGGGAGACAAGACUUACAUAGAGAACACAAGAAAUUGAACAAAAUUGGUUUUAUGUGCCAGAGGAUUUCAGGGACUGGAGAGAUUGUUAUGGAUGCUCACAGAAGGCUCAUGGAGGCUUGGACUGAGCCCAAAAGAAUGAAGACUGCUUAAGAAGGCAGAGGAGAAUGUUAGGAGAAAGCCACAUUCUAUGCAAAGGUUCCCUAGGUGCAAAUGCAUAAGGCAUGCUGGGAAGCUGAUGAGUAACUCAUCUGGCUAGGGAAGACUGCACUGAACACAUCUGAGGGAGAGAGGUGAUGAAAACAGUUUAAAGAAAAUCACUCCUUGUGGAUGCCAGAUGGAGUGCAUUGGGGCGCAACUGGAGGUGGCAACAGACUCUGGAAAGUGAGAAUAAUACUGUUGGAGAAGAAAGAAUGGCUCAGAAUUUAAGACUGAGAGACUGAGACUGCUUCCCCGGCCGGUGUGCAGAGGAAGGAGAAGACGUAUCCAAUUGGCAUUUUUGCCGAUGGCUGACAUGGAAAUCACUAAUAGUUUAAAAGUCUACCCUGCGCUCAGUGGAUCAGCUGGCAUCACCCAGAUCAAUAAACUGGCUCACCUGGACUUACGGCCCCCACCAGGAACUGACUUAGCACAAGAGGACAGCUUCCAUUCCCUAUGAGGUCGUCUCUGACCUGACCAAUCAGCACUCCUAACUCACUGGCCCCCUACCCACCAAAUUAUCCUUAAAAACUCCAAUCCCCAAAUUUUCAGAGAAACUAAUUUGAGUAAUAAUAAAACUCCAGUCUCACGCGCA